rfam:Cyberlindnera fabianii strain 65 BON22_Sc06, whole genome shotgun sequence.
GGGCGGUUAGUUCAGUGGUAGAAUAAGUGCCUUCCAAGCACUAGGCGUGGGUUCGAUUCCCGCACCGCUCA